rnacentral:rRNA from 2 species
AAUCCUGGCUCAGGACGAAACGCUGGCGGCGUGCCUAAUACAUGCAAGUCGAGCGGACAGAAGGGAGCUUGCUCCCGGAUGUUAGCGGCGGACGGGUGAGUAACACGUGGGUAACCUGCCUGUAAGACUGGGAUAACUCCGGGAAACCGGAGCUAAUACCGGAUAGUUCCUUGAACCGCAUGGUUCAAGGAUGAAAGACGGUUUCGGCUGUCACUUACAGAUGGACCCGCGGCGCAUUAGCUAGUUGGUGGGGUAAUGGCUCACCAAGGCGACGAUGCGUAGCCGACCUGAGAGGGUGAUCGGCCACACUGGGACUGAGACACGGCCCAGACUCCUACGGGAGGCAGCAGUAGGGAAUCUUCCGCAAUGGACGAAAGUCUGACGGAGCAACGCCGCGUGAGUGAUGAAGGUUUUCGGAUCGUAAAGCUCUGUUGUUAGGGAAGAACAAGUGCGAGAGUAACUGCUCGCACCUUGACGGUACCUAACCAGAAAGCCACGGCUAACUACGUGCCAGCAGCCGCGGUAAUACGUAGGUGGCAAGCGUUGUCCGGAAUUAUUGGGCGUAAAGGGCUCGCAGGCGGUUUCUUAAGUCUGAUGUGAAAGCCCCCGGCUCAACCGGGGAGGGUCAUUGGAAACUGGGAAACUUGAGUGCAGAAGAGGAGAGUGGAAUUCCACGUGUAGCGGUGAAAUGCGUAGAGAUGUGGAGGAACACCAGUGGCGAAGGCGACUCUCUGGUCUGUAACUGACGCUGAGGAGCGAAAGCGUGGGGAGCGAACAGGAUUAGAUACCCUGGUAGUCCACGCCGUAAAAAGAUGAGUGCUAAGUGUUAGGGGGUUUCCGCCCCUUAGUGCCUGCAGCUAACGCA